rnacentral:rRNA from 1 species
UACGAGUGCCCCGAGCGUUAUCCGGAAUUAUUGGGCGUAAGGGUGUGUAGGCGGUCAUAUUAGUCUUUUGUUAAAUUCUUCGGCUUAACCGGGGGCAUGCAAAAGAAACGGUAUGACUAGAGGAUGCGAGAGGUGAAUGGAACUCAUGGAGUAGGGGUGAAAUCCGUUGAUAUCAUGGGGAACACCAAAAGCGAAGGCAAUUCACUGGCGCACUCCUGACGCUGAAACACGAAAGCGUAGGUAGCGAAUGGG